rnacentral:rRNA from 1 species
GACGAACGCUGGCGGCGUGCUUAACACAUGCAAGUCGAACGGAAAGGCCCUGCUUUUGUGGGGUGCUCGAGUGGCGAACGGGUGAGUAACACGUGAGUAACCUGCCCUUGACUUUGGGAUAACUUCAGGAAACUGGGGCUAAUACCGGAUAGGAGCUCCUGCUGCAUGGUGGGGGUUGGAAAGUUUCGGCGGUUGGGGAUGGACUCGCGGCUUAUCAGCUUGUUGGUGGGGUAGUGGCUUACCAAGGCUUUGACGGGUAGCCGGCCUGAGAGGGUGACCGGCCACAUUGGGACUGAGAUGCGGCCCAGACUCCUACGGGAGGCAACAGUGGGGAAUAUGCACAAUGGGCGGAAGCCUGAUGCAGCAACGCCGCGUGCGGGAUGACGGCCUUCGGGUUGUAAACCGCUUUCGCCUGUGACGAAGCGUGAGUGACGGUAAUGGGUAAAGAAGCACCGGCUAACUACGUG